rnacentral:rRNA from 1 species
CAGUAGCCGCGGGAAUACGUAGGGUGCAAGCGUUAAUCGGAAUUACUGGGCGUAAAGCGUGCGCAGGCGGUUUUGUAAGACAGAGGUGAAAUCCCCGGGCUCAACCUGGGAACUGCCUUUGUGACUGCAAGGCUAGAGUACGGCAGAGGGGGAUGGAAUUCCGCGUGUAGCAGUGAAAUGCGUAGAUAUGCGGAGGAACACCGAUGGCGAAGGCAAUCCCCUGGGCCUGUACUGACGCUCAUGCACGAAAGCGUGGGGAGCAAACAGGAUUAGAUACCCCGGUAGUCCCUGUCUCUUAUAC